ensembl:lncRNA
GAUUGCACAGAUGAAGUGGUGUCACAGUGGCUAUCUGAUGUGAAGGAAUGGGCAGCUGGUGGUAAGCAUGACCAGAUAAAAGAAACAACAAACAUCCCUUUCUACCAUCUACAUUUUAUGUUUGAUAUUAAAGAGCAGCUAAAGAUAGUAGGCGGAUCAUCAUCUAAUGUGAUGCCACAUUUAUGUCAGGUUUAUUAGAAUAUUCCAGUUCCUUGCAGGAAGUGCACAUACCAAGUAUAAAUAAGUUUGAUUAAAAGGUUUUACAUAAAAUUCAAACUUGCUUUCACUAUUUCUUAUACAGAGACACCUGAUACAUCUAGUGCCAGUCAAGGCACAACACACAGAGGAAUUCAGCAAUCAAUUAAGGGGCUCUACCUUAGUGUGAGGCACCGGAAGCGAACCCUCUACCGUCAGAAUGACAGCAGCAAGUUUCGCCAUCGCCUUCGAAGAAAGCUGGCAGAAGACAAAAAACUCCUUCUUCAGGAGAUACAGAAAUACAAUGAUCUUGUACUAGAAUCGGCAACAACCAUUGACGUAGCUGUGGUGGAGCAUUCCCUAACUGGAGAGAGUACUGUGUCUCAAAUAUGGCCGUGGGAAGUUCAUGGCAGUGCAAACAUUUCAAUCAAGGAACGAGUGCACGAUCAAGUGAUGUUAACAAGGCGACUGCAUGAGGAAACAAGAGUUUUGGUGUUGGAGAUGGCACAACACUGCACAUGGUUGCAGAGCCUGGCAAUGGUUCUCAAGAACAAGUUGGCUGAGGAGGGUAAGUUUAAUUAAAACCCUGUCCAUCUAAUGUGUUAAAAAAACACACAAAAAAAACACAUCAGUCACAGAACUUGAUGGAGUAGAACGCUUAUUGCUCUCUUUGCCGAGGUCCUUUAACACAUACAUAAAAUGGGGAUUAAAAUUGUUACUGUAGCUAUGGUUACAAGUCAGUAAGGCUAUAAAGAUUCACAUUUGCUUGAAGAUGUGCAGAUUUGUUGUACUAUGGCUGUUACUUGAAAGCAUAAAUGAACAAAAUAAUUUGAACAUUGAAAUUUGUGUCCUGAUGUGUUACACGUGGUUAGCAUAACAUCAAGAUUAAUUUUAUUAUUAUCAUCUCCUCCAGUCAACAUAGAAAACCUUGCUGGUCAGCAAGUAACAAAAUGUGUUAUUUCAGCACAACUCUAGUGAUAGCUGUUUUAAGUUAACAGGUUUCUAUAUAUAUAUAAUAUAUAUANAUAUAUAUAUAUAUAUAUAUAUAUAUAUAUAUAUAUAUGCUGCUUUGGGCUUUAAUUCGAAGAUUACAGUGAGAUUAAUCUAGAUUAAAAAAAUUAAUCUAUGCCCACCACUAAUACAUAUAUGCUGCUUUGGGCCUCCCUCCAUAAAGUCACCUCAGUGAGCCAUGUUGCCUUAAAUUGUUUUAUACAGAAGCUAGCCUGGUCCCAUGUCAGCGAUACACAUAAAAAUGGCAAUCAUCCUGCUAUGUAGAUUUGAAUAGGUGAUAUCUUUUUACUCCAUUUAAGUUCUUUGGCCUUAUGAAACAAUCUUAAUAUAGUUUGUCUUUAAUGUAAUCUCGUUUGUAUUUUGAGAUGUAGACCAGGGAAAUGAGUGACUUUGCUGUCUCUUAAGAAGUCUCUUAGGUCCUGAGGCCUCUGNUGUUAUUCUUAAUAAUUAAUUUGUGUAUUUUAUUAAUGCUUUACACACCUUACUUAUUCUAAAACAGCUGAAAUUCACCCUCUUAUCCUAAUUCUUGCUUUUUUGUUUUUCUGUAUUUCCCCAGAUGGAAGCUGCACGAAGGACUAUGUUGAAGGAAAUGGACUUGCCCUAUAUCUGUGUAUUAUUAGUAUGCUGAUUGAUUAACCACAUCAAAAUCUUGUUGAAAAUUCAAACUGUGUCUUUAGAUUUUCCAAGCAAUUUAGUAAGCACAUUGCACAGUUCAUUAAAAAUGCACAAACCUCUCAUUAUAGGUGCACCAAUCUUAGCCAAAAAUGUCAACUUUGCAUGUAUGAUAUUACCAGAUGUAAUUACUGUGCCCAUAUGAUAUUUGGGUAGUGUAUACUCUUCUAAAAGAGAGACUCCCCUUGAUUGUGGUGACCCUGUAACCUUUCCUUUUGCACCAACGUUAGGCCAAACUUUUGACUUGCACACAACAAAUGUUAUGAACCGAUUUCUGUAAUUUUCUGAGCAAUGAAUCAUGUCAUGUUGACCUUAUGACAUUCCCUGUAGCACAAUCAUUAGACCAGAAUGUAAAAUUGAAUAUUGUCUAAUUGGGCAGAUUGCCAUGAAAUCUUGUAAGCACAUGAUGACUUUGGUGACCUUAUGACAAUUCCUCUAUCAUCACAUUUAGGCCUUAAUGUAAAAACUCAUUCUUGAUUGCAUUUCUCAAUAUUCACUUAUUCUGUGGUGCAGUGUCAGUCUAUGACAUUUUGUUUUUCCCCAGAGGAGGCUGCCUAUGGAUCACUACUUGAUUGAGUGUAUUAUAUAACUGUUGUGUAACUUUAUAUUACUGCAAAGAUGCAUUAUAGUAUGUAACAGAAAAAUACAGUUUUUUAUUUUACGAUUAUACUUUAUAUUGUAUAUUAUUACAGUUGACAGAUGACUUAAUUCUUUGUUCUGCUGGAGCUUUUCAAGUGAACUUAACCUCACAGUCCAAUGUUUUUAAAUACAGCCUUAUGGCUUGUGUCAUCACAUUUAGGCCUUAAUGUAAAAACUCAUUCUUGAUUGCAUUUCUCAAUAUUCACUUAUUCUGUGGUGCAGUGUCAGUCUAUGACAUUUUGUUUUUCCCCAGAGGAGGCUGCCUAUGGAUCACUACUUGAUUGAGUGUAUUAUAUAACUGUUGUGUAACUUUAUAUUACUGCAAAGAUGCAUUAUAGUAUGUAACAGAAAAAUACAGUUUUUUAUUUUACGAUUAUACUUUAUAUUGUAUAUUAUUACAGUUGACAGAUGACUUAAUUCUUUGUUCUGCUGGAGCUUUUCAAGUGAACUUAACCUCACAGUCCAAUGUUUUUAAAUACAGCCUUAUGGCUUGUUUGACAAAUAUGUAUUUGGUGUAUUUUCACUGGUAUUGUUGUGAAAGACAAGAAAUAAAGUAUUUCCAAAGAUGAA